AUGGCAAGUUGGAUCCUUGUCCAGCUGAUCUCCUUACCAUGGUCCUUGACCGUCGUCAUCAUCUCACUCAGCGCAACUGCUGACGAGCAAGGCCAGACACUUAUUGAUUCUUACUGCCGAAGCGGGGCGGCCUACGACAACUUGAAGCAGUGCCAGUCAAAUGCUCAGACUCUUGCCCAGAAGCUCCGUGAUGGCGCCAUGAAGAACGGCGGGUUCCAACAAGCUAGUAAUGGCGGCCCGCCCAACGAGGUAUUCGGUCUUGUCAUGUGCUUUGUCAACUUCAACUUGUCCAUGUGCGAGAGCUGUUUGUCAGGGGCACCCAACUUCGUGAACUACGAGUGUCCCUACACCUGGGUGUCCGGUGCACUCUAUGACGCCUGCGUCCUCAAAUACUCAAACGAGUCUUCCCUCUCCGUCUCCGAUGAAUCCACCCGCUCAGACGUACUCGACGAGGGCGGAGGGUUCUACGCCCAUGACAUGGACCGCAUGAAUACAACGCGGGGGAAGCUGAUAAACCGGCUGUCGUUGGAGGCGGCUGGCUCAUCGCUGCGGUUCGCGUAUGGGAAUGAGACGUACACGGACACGGAUCCGCAGAGCGACUCACAGGCCAUGUACGGACUGGUGCAGUGCUCAAGGGACUUGGCACCCAGUGAGUGCACCAAGUGUGUAGACGAUCUGCAUAGACUGAUGGUGCUACAACUUAACAGCACCGCUGGUAAUGUCAAGGGGUUCAACUGCUAUGUGAGAUACAGCAUAGACCCGAUGAAGAUCACCACCCCUGCUACAGUCUUGUUGUUGGCCGGCCUAGGCACCUUGGUAUGGGUUUUCACGCACCGGCUGAAUGAAAGGACCGAGGAGAUGGAAGAAGACUUGUUCGAUGAUGAGGAAAUGGCAGACGAGUUCAGCAAAGGGACAGGACCCAAGCGAUUUCGCUAUAAUGAGCUGGCCGUGGCCACGGGUAACUUCGCAGACAGAGGGAAGCUCGGAGAAGGAGGUUUCGGUUCAGUAUACAGAGGAUUCAUCAAGGACUUGAAGCUUGAUGUGGCAAUAAAAAGAGUGUCCAAGAGCUCAAAACGGGGGAGGAAGGAGUAUAUCUCUGAGGUGAGGAUCAUAAGCCGGCUUCGGCACCACAAUCUCGUGCAACUCAUCGGCUGGUGCCAUGGAGCCGGCGAGCUCCUUGUAUAUGAGUUGAUGCCCGGUGGCAGUCUCGACACUCACCUUUACAGUAUGGAGGGUGUACUGACGUGGCCGGUCAGGCAUGAGAUUAUGCUGGGGAUCAGCUCAGCGCUUCUGUACUUGCACCAAGAGUGGGAGCAAUGUGUGUUGCACAGGGACAUCAAGCCGAGCAACAUCAUGCUGGACACGUGCUUCAGCGCCAAGCUUGGCGACUUCGGGCUCGCAAGGCUCGUUGACCAUAGCCAUGGGUCGCACACGACGGAGCUCGCCGGCACCAUGGGGUAUAUGGACCCGGACUGCAUGGUGACCGGCAGGGCCACCGCGGAGUCGGACAUGUACAGCUUCGGAGUUGUCCUACUGGAGAUAGCGUGUGGACGCAGGCCCGUUGUGGUCCUGCCAGACGACAGUGUGAUCCACCUGGCUCAACGGGUGUCGGAGUUGUACAGCCAGGGAAGGGUCCUUGACGCUGCCGACCCACGGCUGACCGGGGAGUUCGACGUCCAAGAAAUGGAGCGUGUGAUCAUCGUAGGGCUAUGGUGCACUGCCCAUGACCGCAGCCUGAGACCUUCCAUCAGGCAGGCCAUCAACGUGCUAAGGUUCGAGGCUCCACUGCCGAGCCUCCCUGCAAGGAUGCCGCCUGUUGGCUCUGCUGUUCCAUCUUUGCCUUUGCCUGAAGAUCAUAGCAGUACAACUAGCAGCAUGUACCUUAGCUAG
rnacentral:rRNA from 1 species